rnacentral:rRNA from 1 species
UAGGGAAUAUUGGACAAUGGGCGAAAGCCUGAUCCAGCCAUGCCGCGUGAGUGAUGAAGGCCUUAGGGUUGUAAAGCUCUUUCGCCAGGGACGAUAAUGACGGUACCUGGAUAAGAAGCCCCGGCUGAACUUCAGUGCCAGCCAGCCGCGGGUAAAUACGAAAGGGGCGUAGCGUUGUUCGGAAUUACUGGGCGUAAAGCGUAUGCAGGCGGAUCGCUAAGUCAGGGGUGAAAUCCCGAGGCUCAACCUCGGAACUGCCUUUGAUACUGACGAUCUUGAGUCCGGGAGAGGUGAGUGGAACUGCGAGUGUAGAGGUGAAAUUCGUAGAUAUUUCGCAAGAACACCAGUGGCGAAGGCGGCUCACUGGCCCGGUACUGACGCUGAGAUACGAAAGCGUGGGGAGCAAAACA